AUUGAACGCUGGCGGCAGGCCUAACACAUGCAAGUCGAACGAGUGGCGGACGGGUGAGUAAUGUCUGGGAAACUGCCUGAUGGAGGGGGAUAACUACCGGAAACGGUAGCUAAUACCGCAUACCAUCAGAUGUGCCCAGAUGGGAUGAGAUUGUUGGUGGGGUAACGGCUCACCAAGGCGACGACCCCUAGCUGGUCUGAGAGGAUGAACACCCACACUGGAACUGAGACCAGGUCCAGACUCCUACGCGAGGCAGCAGUGGUGAAUAUUGCACAAUGGGCGCAAGCCUGAUGCAGCCAUGCCGCGUGUAUGAAGAAGGCCUUCGGGUUGUAAAGUACUUUCAGCGGGGAGGCUUUACCCGCAGAAGAAGCACCGGCUAACUCCGUGCCAGCAGCCGCGGUAAUUC
rnacentral:rRNA from 1 species